UACGUAGGGGGCGAGCGUUGUCCGAAGUUACUGGGCGUAAAGCGCGCGUAGGCGGUCAUUUAAGUUCGGGGUGAAAGGUUCAGCGCUCAACGCGAACAGUGCCUUGAAUACUGGGUGACUUGAGUUCGGGAGAGGGCAGUGGAAUUCCUGGUGUAGCGGUGAAAUGCGUAGAUAUCAGGAGGAACACCGAUGGCGAAGGCAGCUGCCUGGCCUAGAACUGACGCUGAGGUGCGAAAGCCAGGGGAGCGAACGGG
rnacentral:rRNA from 1 species